UACGUAGGGUGCGAGCGUUAUUCGGAAUUACUGGGCGUAAAGGGCGCGUAGGCGGCCCGCUAAGUCGAACGUGAAAUCCCCAGGCUCAACCUGGGAACUGCGUCCGAUACUGGCAGGCUUGAAUCCGGGAGAGGGAUGUGGAAUUCCCAGUGUAGUGGUGAAAUACGUAGAGAUUGGGAAGAACACCAGUGGCGAAGGCGGCUAUCUGGACGGUUUCUGACGCUAAGACGCGAAAGCGUGGGGAGCAAACAGG
rnacentral:rRNA from 1 species